CAUGCAUAUACGAUGGCAAUUAAAUUCAUUGCUUGUAUUUUUCUCACAAAUAAGACAAAUUCUGUUAGGACCAUCUAUGUCUCUAUAUGAGAGAGUCCAAACAGGGAAUGAAGACUAAAAAUAAAGACAAACUGUGAUGCACACCAAACCAAACAAUGAAAUAGAAGUACUCCAUUACAAAACCUCAAUGAUCUUAAGUAUAGUGCAGGCAAUCUGGAACUUCAAAGAGGGUGCCACCACCACCACCACCUCCAGCAAUUAAGACCACAUGGCAUAGAGAACAUGUUCUCUCUAUCCAAGCCUUAAAUCCUCAGUCUUCUCUUCUUCUGUCUCUUACUGACAGAUAUGCUUUGUCUAUUGUAUUGAAUAUACUACCUAUCCAUGCAUCUUCUGUGCAGAACUUCCUAAACUACCACCCUCUUCUACAUUUCCAAACCCUCCAUAGCUUCAACUAAUGACUGCCACGGAUCCCAAAAUACCAGUUAAACAACUUCGAGAACUCCUCCAAGAGCAGCAAGAACCUUUUAUCCUAGAGCUUUGCCUAGUGGAAAGAGGUUAUUUGAGAAACAGCUUUAAUGCAGGAAGUAGCUCUAGCUUCCCUUGUUGUCAUGGCAAUUCAAGAAAAUCCCUCAAGAGUUCAUUUAGCUUUGGUCUUAAAAGGACCAAAAAGGGUAUUACGUACUGUCCAAAGGUAUUAAGGAGUGCAUAUAAUCAGGUCAUUUCCUUCAACGAGAGACUCAGAACUAAAGUUUCCAAUCAUAGGGAUGGAGAUGUUGAUGUUACAGAGAAGAAGGACAGGAAUAAACAAGAAGCAGUAGAAAUAGAUAGAUUUUCUUCUGCUAGCAGCUCGACAGUGUUUAAUUCAUGUUGUGGAAGCGAUGCAGAAGAAACUUCCACUUCUCAGCAAAAAGAUCACAUCUCGUUCACAACUAACACUUCCCAGUCUUUCAAACUCUGCAAGCUAAUAGAACAAGAGGUAGGAAAACUGUAUUUUCUUCUUGCCUAGAUAAAGUGACAUUCCGCAAUUAUUUUUCUUCAAAAUAAAUUUACUCAUAAAAUUAACAGGCUGUUACAGAUAGAAAGCUCCAAUGGCAAUGCAUAGAAGAAAGUAGACAGCUCAGCCCAGUGUCUGUAUUAGAAGAGGUAGCUUCACAUACAGGUUACCCACUUGAUAACAGUUAAUGUUCUUAUCUGCCAUUAGUUUACCAUCAGUUUAUCCGUAAUUUUCUUAUUUGAUGUUGAAAUCUUCUUCCAUUUCUUCUUGUGGAUAAAACAGAGUGCUUCUGUACCUUAAAAGAAAAGAAUACCUCAAAAACCUGUGCUCUUUCUUCCAAGAAAGUUACAGAAGACUCUAUUCUAUCAGCUUCUCUGUGGAAAAUAUUUUUCCACUCAGCAACUGAGAAACCAACUUUACCAGGAGUCUCAGAAAUACAGGAGCUUGUCCAAUCCAAUCUUUCUUCACAUCACUUGAAAUCCAGGUCAUGUUUGCAGCAAACAAAGCAACUUCUUUUUGACUGUGUAAGGGAGAUAGUAGAGAACCAAGGAAGGAAGGAGAAGGAGAAGCAGCAGCAACAACAGAGAGAAUAUUUGGCAUCAGAAGAGCUUGGAAAGCUCAUUGGAGAGAAAAUUAAGUUCUAUGGAAAACAGUAUGGCGAAGAAUCAACCUUGAGGGAACUACUGGAAUUGGAAUUUCAGGAUUCAGCGCAUGAAUGGAGGGGUUAUGAGCCACAGCGAAGGGACAUUGGGUUUCAGAUUGGGGAUGCCAUUUUGGAGGAGAUCAGCAGUGAAAUGAUUAAGGACAUGAUUGAUUUCUUGUCACCAAUCACCAGAUGUUCUCAAUCACUUUGAUCCAAAUAAUCUCAAUUUUAACUUCCCCCCUCCACAACUACACUUUCCCAGCUAACAAGAUGAAAGUUUUUUUUAGCAAGUUUUUUGAAUUUAAUAGCAUAUUAGUAUAAUAUGUAUUUUUUACUUUAUGUAAAUUAUGCUAUAUACGGCUCCCACAGCACACCUACUUUCAAUUUUCUAGGCCUGCAAUACCCCAGCUCAGAUGAUAGAAAUAGAGAUUUCAAAGCUCGAUAAAUGAUCGCCUCCCGCAUGUGGAUUUAUUUAUUUUUUUUGAACAUGGGUUUCGUUCCAUUAAAAGCCUGUAACAGGCUACCACAAGACAAGGAAGCUAAAGACCAGAAGAAAUGGCCUAAAUGCAAAGAAAACACACAAAUAUAAGCACAAAUUACAUACAAGAAAAUCCUGCAACACAAGAACUACCCAAAAUAAUGCAAAUAAAUUAAACCUGUAAAAGCCUGUUAACGUCAAUUCACUUACCACUAUUUAAUUCCAAAUUAUCAACACGGAAUCAUUCUUACCGCACAAUCCUCCUCUGAUUUACUUGGCAACAUACAUGCCAAACACUAACACUAAUCAUGAUCUCUUAACACAUAAGUGAAAAAAACCGGGGGAGAAAACCUUUAUACAUUCCAUCAAAGCAGCAGGUUCUCGUUCACCUAUUUCCAAAACCUACAACAGCACCAUUUAUCUUCAGUAACAAUCUCUUGCAACAAACUGAACGCGCUAGGAAAACCUGAGAACUAGCUGCAAAAUUCUUGUAUCUUACAAUCUGACAAUAGGGUACUAAUGAGCCUCCCCAUCCCCACCAACCUCCCCAUCUUCUAGCUCCUCAUAGCCGCCAUUUCUAUGGGAACCAUCGCGGUGAUCUCUCUUGUGCCUUUUAUGCCGGCUUUCGCUAUCUGACUCAGGUGUGUAUGAAUGCUUUCUUGAUUUUUUACGGUCACUGCCAUGUCUGCG
rnacentral:misc_RNA from 1 species